rnacentral:rRNA from 1 species
UGCCGGUCAUAAACCGGAGGAAGGUGGGAGUGACGUCAAGUCAGCAUGGCCUUUAUAUCCUGGGCUACACACACGCUACAAUGGGAAGGGACAAUAGGUUGCGAAGCCGCGAGGCGGAGCCAAUCCAGCAAAACUUCCCUCCAGUUCAGAUUGCAGGCUGCAACUCGCCUGCAUGAAGUUGGAGUUGCUAGUAAACGCAGGUCAGCCAUACUGCGUUGAAUACGUUCCCGGGGCUU